rnacentral:rRNA from 1 species
UACGGGGGGGGCAAGCGUUGUUCGGAAUUACUGGGCGUAAAGGGCUCGUAGGCGGCCCUCUCAGUCGGAUGUGAAAGCUUCCGGCUUAACUGGAAAAUUGCAUCGGAAACUGCUCGGCUUGAAGGUGGGAGAGGGUAGCGGAAUUCCCGGUGUAGUGGUGAAAUGCGUAGAUAUCGGGAGGAACACCAGUGGCGAAGGCGGCUACCUGGCCCAUUCUUGACGCUGAGGCGCGAAAGCUAGGGGAGCAAACGGG